rnacentral:rRNA from 1 species
UGCCAGCAGCCGCGGUAAGACGGAGGAUGCAAGUGUUAUCCGGAAUUACUGGGCGUAAAGCGCACGUAGGCGGAUUAGAAAGUUAGGGGUGAAAUCCCAGGGCUCAACCCUGGAACUGCCUCUAAAACUACUAGCCUAGAGUUCGAGAGAGGUGAGUGGAAUUCCGAGUGUAGAGGUGAAAUUCGUAGAUAUUCGGAGGAACACCAGUGGCGAAGGCGGCUCACUGGCUCGAUACUGACGCUGAGGUGCGAAGGCGUGGGGAGCAAACAGGAUUAGAUA